AACGAACGCUGGCAGCAUGCCUAACACAUGCAAGUUGAACGAGAUCUUCGGGUCUAGUGGCGCACGGGUGCGUAACGCGUGGGAAUCUGCCCUUUGGUUCGGAAUAACAGUUGGAAACGACUGCUAAUACCGGAUGAUGACGAAAGUCCAAAGAUUUAUCGCCAGAGGAUGAGCCCGCGUAGGAUUAGCUAGUUGGUGUGGUAAAGGCGCACCAAGGCGACGAUCCUUAGCUGGUCUGAGAGGAUGAUCAGCCACACUGGGACUGAGACACGGCCCAGACGACUACGGGAGGCAGCAGUGGGGAAUAUUGGACAAUGGGCGAAAGCCUGAUCCAGCAAUGCCGCGUGAGUGAUGAAGGCCUUAGGGUUGUAAAGCUUUUUUGCCCGGGAUGAUAAUGACAGUACCGGGAGAAUAAGCUCCGGCUAACUCCGUGCCAGCAGCCGCCGCGG
rnacentral:rRNA from 1 species